rnacentral:rRNA from 1 species
ACUCAAAGGAAUAGACGGGGGCCCGCACAAGCGGAGGAACAUGUGGUUUAAUUCGAUGAUACGCGAGGAACCUUACCCGGGCUAGAACGCAGAGGGAAUAUAUGGGAAACUGUAUAGCCGCAAGGUCGUCUGCGAGGUGCUGCAUGGUUGUCGUCAGCUCGUGCCGUGAGGUGUCGGCUUAAGUGCCAUAACGAGCGCAACCCUUAUUGUUAGUUGCCAGCGGGUCAUGCCGGGGACUCUAGCAAAACUGCCAGCGUAAGCUGAGAGGAAGGUGGGGAUGACGUCAAAUCAGCACGGCCCUUACGUCCGGGGCGACACACGUGUUACAAUGGGAGGUACAGAAGGUCGCAACCACGCGAGUGGGAGCCAAUCCAAAAAGCCUCUCCCAGUUCGGAUCGAAGUCUGCAACUCGACUUCGUGAAGCUGGAUUCGCUAGUAAUCGCGCAUCAGCCAUGGCGCGGUGAAUACGUUCCCGGGCCUUGUACACACCGCCCGU